UACGGAGGGUGCGAGCGUUAAUCGGAAUUACUGGGCGUAAAGCGCGCGUAGACGGUUAUGUAAGUCAGAUGUGAAAGCCCCGGGCUCAACCUGGGAAUUGCAUUUGAGACUGUGUAGCUAGGGUGCGGAAGAGGGAAGCGGAAUUUCCGGUGUAGCGGUGAAAUGCGUAGAUAUCGGAAGGAACACCAGUGGCGAAAGCGGCUUCCUGGUCCAGCACCGACGUUCAGGCACGAAAGCGUGGGGAGCAAACAGG
rnacentral:rRNA from 1 species